AAGUAAUCCUCUCAUAGCUAGAUCUCAGAAAAACGAAACAACAGCAAUAUUCUCGUCUUCAUGGCAUCGUCAAUCAAGACAUGUACUAGGAUUGUGUACUUGGCUGCUGCUUUGAUCUUGGUUCUUGGGAUCAUGGCUACUUUUCCAUCAUGCCAAGCUGGAGGCUGCCCUGGAGGGAUAAAGGCGGAAUAUUGCUUCAGAUGUACACCCUGCAUAAAUGAUUUAUGCAUACCUUAUUGCGGAACACACGGAUACAAGGUGAAAGGUUCCCACUGUGUUAAAAGAAAUAUUGGCGAGGAGUGCUGCUGUAAACUGUAAUUAAUGCAGCCAUGCAUUUUCCAUGAUGAAAGUUAAAUAAGAUAAUUCGCAAUGGAAAAUUUCAAAUGGAUGAAAUAUCUUUAA